CAGCUCUGAAACCAAGGGCCCUGAGGACUGGCAUCAACUAGAUCCACUCCACCUAUGAUCUGCCUUCUCCCAUCAAGUUCACUUCAAUUUUUUAACAACAGCGGCUUUUUUUUUUUUAAUUUAUUUAAUUAAUUUAUUUUUUUGGCUCUGUUGUGUCUUCGUUGCUGUGUGCGGGCUUUCUCUAGUUGCAGCAUCGCUUGAAUUGUUUUUAUGAAAACUUGCGUAUCCUCUGAGUGGCAUGGAGCCUAAACGGUAAGACGUUUGCCUGAGUUGUUGCUUCAGGAACUUGGCAUCAGCUGUGUCCAGUUCUAGCUGAGCUGGUGAGUGGUUAGGACCACCGACCCUCCAACUGAAACCGAGCACUGGGCUCAUGUGCCUGCGGGCAGAAAGUCAACCUCUGACGGCAGGCUUUGCAGCAAAGCCAUCUUGCCCUGGAAGAUGACUCAGAAUGGCACGUGAACAUGAUGCUUAUUGGGAAGCUGAGGCUCCAGGCACCUGACCUGCAUUGCUCCUUAUUGAUGAGGCAAACGUGACCAUCCUCAUCCCGUAAAUACCCGUCCUUGGCCCUUGGGUAGGCGGCCUCUUUUCUCUGCUGUGAACCUCGGCGUCUCGGCAUCUGGCUCAGUGACACUUCUGCCUCUGCUCCAUCCAUGCCUUUCUCUACUCUGCAGCUAGAGCCCCGCAAACUAACUCGGGGUCAUCGUGAAGGUAGGGUCCCCGUCGCCCUCACCGGCUCAGCUCCCUGGGCGCAAGCCACUGAGCACCAUGGGCCCCAAACCACCCUCCCCAAAACCAGGCCCCAGGCCCAACCACUGGCACCCUGGCCCCUCCUUUUUUUUUUUUUUUUUUUGGCUGCAUUGAGUCUUCGUUGCUGCGCACGGGCUUUCUGUAGUUGCAGCGAGCGGGGGCUACUCAUCGCGGUGCGUGGGCUUCUCUUGUUGCGGAGCACGGGCCCUAGGCGCACUGGUUUCAGUAGCUGUGGCUUGCGAGCUCUAGAGCACAGGCUCAGUAGUUGUGGCGCACGGGCUUAGUUGCUCCACAGCAUGUGGGAUCUUCCUGGACCAGGGCUCGAACCUGUGUCCCCUGCAUUGGCAGGCGGAUUCUUAACCAGUGCACCACCAGGGAAGUCUGCUGGCCCCUCCUUGACCUUAGUGUCUGCUUCGAUCUUUGACUUCUGGACUCUGCACCAUGAGGUCCCCCAUGUGUCCCAGCACAGCUGAGGGUGGCAUGCAGUAGGUGGCUGUCCUGUGGUUAAUGGGUGUGUAGGUGAAGUGAGGCUUGGGGGCGAGCAGAACCCUGGAGAGAUUGUGGGGGGGCAGGUCCCACCCUCACAGGCAGGCGGAUGUCCAUCAGGGGAGGCUGAGAAGAGGCGUCGUCAGGGACUGGUGCCAUGGAUGGCGGACCCCAGACCAUCAUCUCACAAAGUUUGUUAACAAAAGCCAAUAAUCUAUCAAUGUGAACUUGUAGAAACUCUGUCUUACUUCCUAUUUCCAUAGAAUUUGACCGAAGCAGUUGCCUGGCCCAGGGAAAGGGGGGACAUUUAACACUCGGGCUAGGCCAUGUGGGUUGGUGAGCGCAUUUCGGUUCCCCGGUCACACGCAACCCUGCAGAAGCCACAGAAAGUGCAACACGGGUCCCAACAUCCUAGCUCUUAGUAUGAAGGCCAUGUCUGCCCCACCGAGUCGCAGGCAGUGUUCUCGCAGCUCAGACCUGCCAGUGGCUGCCCUGUCCCGUCACAGCCACGUCUGUGUUUGCAUCUGCCCAAGGGAAUCCCAUGGUGAGGGACGCCGGGUGCCCAGCGGCAUCUCCGCAGCCCCUGAGUGUGCAGAGGACCCCAU